AGAGAGAGACAUGCGCGCAUAUCAAUAAGCGGAGGAAAAGAAACUAACAAGGAUUCCCCUAGUAACGGCGAGUGAAGCGGGAAGAGCUCAAAUUUGAAAUCUUAAAGGGUUUCCCUUUACGAAUUGUAGUUUAAAGAAGUGUUUUCUGUUGAGGUUUUGGUAAAAGUUCUUUGGAAUAGGACAUCAUAGAGGGUGAGAAUCCGUAUUUGACCUUUACUUUCAACUUUGUGAUACACUUUCAAAGAGUCGGAUUGUUUGGGAAUGCAGUCCAAAAUGGGUGGUAAAUUUCAUCUAAAGCUAAAUAUUGGCGAGAGACCGAUAGCGAACAAGUACCGUGAGGGAAAGAUGAAAAGAACUUUGAAAAGAGAGUUAAACAGUACGUGAAAUUGUCAAAAGGGAAGCGUUUGACACCAGUGUUGUUUUCUGAAAAUCAAUUAAAGAACUGUUUAUGCUAAGUCUGUUUAGACUUUAUCAGCUAACUGUUUAGUUUUGAGCUUUUCUUUAAUGCACUUUUCAGUUAACAAGUCAACAUCAAUUUCUUUUGCUGUAAAAAAGCUUGAGGAAGGUGGCUUGAGAUUCGUCUUAAGUGUUUAUAGCCUCUUGCCUAUGCAGUCGGAGAGAUUGAGGUCUGCAGCGUAGAUCCUUCGGGGCUAAAUGCAUUUGUGCUAAGUUAUAGCAUUUUAUAGACAACUUGUAGACUAUGAUUUGUCUUGUAGCUUACUCGCUUAUGUUAUUUUACCUACGCUUAGGAUGUUGAGCGCAUGUCUCUCUCU
rnacentral:rRNA from 1 species